UACGUAGGGUGCGAGCGUUAAUCGGAAUUACUGGGCGUAAAGCGUGCGCAGGCGGUUUUGUAAGCCAGAUGUGAAAUCCCCGGGCUUAACCUGGGAAUGGCAUUUGGGACUGCAAGGCUUGAGUGCGGCAGAGGAGACUGGAAUUCCUGGUGUAGCAGUGAAAUGCGUAGAUAUCAGGAGGAACACCGAUGGCGAAGGCAGGUCUCUGGGCUGACACUGACGCUCAUGCACGAAAGCGUGGGGAGCAAACAGGG
rnacentral:rRNA from 1 species